GUGUUAUACGAAAGGAGAGAAGGUUAGCACUCCCCUCGACAAGGAUGGAAGAGGCCCUUGGGCCUAACAACAUGCAAUGGUUAAGGCAUUGCCACCUACACAUGGAAUCUAACCACUGUUUUCA
rnacentral:ncRNA from 1 species